AGGAAAUCCCUCUGUCAUCUGCCGCUGUUUGGGGCCAAAAGCUUGAACUGUGAUGAAUUUUGUGAAAGGGAGAACUGCCUCAUUCUGCCAAAGCCGUUCAGAAGUGAGUCACUAGCCCAGAACAGGCCCCACAUAGCUGCACCAGCUCAGACUCCAUCUAGCUGCACCUGCAGGAGCUAAGGCUCGAGGUGGACAUCGGGCCUGGGCCCCAGGGCAGAGUCAUGACCAACAGGGGGCAGCCCAGGGAGCUACUCCCCAGCCUUCAGUGGGCCCCACUUCCCUUCCCUCCUCCCCUCCCUGAAGGCCCCUCCCAGACCGCUUGGCCUCCGGCCUUGCCUCCUCCAACCUGAUCUCCUGGGGUUGCUCAAGGGUCUCCUCUAAAAAGCAAAUCCGGUCUUGUCUUUCCCCUGCCUGCCGCAUUCCGUGGCUCCUCACUGCUCUCAGGAGAAAGACCAAAGUCCCUGUGUGCUCCCAAGCCCUCUCCUGAUGAUGCAGAGGCGUGGCCCAUAGGGACUGAGAGCUGCUCACUUCAGGCAGAAGCCAGGCAUCCUGGCAGCCCCUGAGAGCCGCCCAGCUGGCCAGAAGGACCUGCUCCCAGGCCUCCCUUUCCCUGUAAUUCAUAUAUAGAAAGCAUCUAAAUCAGGAGCCAACCCUCCACCAGAGGGAGCGGCGCCCUGGAGGUGGAAGUGGAGCUUUUCUUAGUCAUUACAUUUGGUUUUGUUUUGGGGGAAAAAAACAAAAUGAAACAAUUAAGGUCUUAUUUUCACAAUCACCUGUGGAAUGAGGAGGCUUCCAGAUGGUAUUUGGUGAGAGCACCAGGAACCUUGUGGUCCUGUGAGGGCAUUCAGGGGUAGGGAGUCUAACUCAUCACCCAAUCCUCAUGGCUCCAACUUUAAACACACCCAGAAGCCUAUCUCGUCCCCCAGCCCAGCUCCGUCGCCUGCACCUGGUCCAAGCUGAGGCCCCUCUGCCCCAGCCUCCUGGUUGCCCCACUGUUUCUGCCCUGGGCCUGCUCCAGUCCCUUCUCACGGACAGCCAGAGCCAAGCCUCUGCUCCAGUAAGGGAUCUCUCCAAAGGCUCCUGUCUCCCUCCGGGUAAGGCCAGGGUCCUAAUCACGGCCCACAGAGGCCGACACCACCGCCUCUGACCUCCCUCCCUCUGUCUCCAGCUUUCCUGGGAUCCCGCCUGGGAUCCCCUCUGCCCAGCACUCAGACCUCCUGCACCAGCUGUUCCCCUGCCUGGAACAUUCUCCACUCCCCCCAGGUCCACAGGGUCUGAGCCUCAUGUCCUACAGAUGUCACUCAAAGGGUGGCCCUUCACUGGCUUCCCUGAUGGCACCACUUCCUGCCCACUGGUCCUUCUCCCCCUCCCUCACUCUGCCUCAUCUAGCCCUGGACACUCCACCAAUCUGAUACAUCUUUAUUUCUCUGUUUAUUGUCUAGUUUCCCUCCAUGCCCACCAGGAUGUAAGCUCUGAGAGCAGGGGCUUUGUUUCAUUCGCUGCCAUAAUUCCAGUACCAAGAACAAUGCCUGGCACCUCCUAGUAGGUGCUCAAUAAAUAUUUAUUGAAUGAAUGAAUGAUUGAAUUAUGUCUGUCAUUGACAGAGGGAAGUCUGGGCAACAUAGUGAGACCCCAUCUCUACCAAAACUAAAUAAUUAGCCAGGUGUGGUGGUGCAUGCCUGUAAUCCCAGCUACUCCAGAGGCUGAUACAGGAGGAUUGCUUGGUCCCAGGAGGUAGAGGCCACAGUGAGCCAUGAUCACACUGCUGCACUCCAGCCUAGGCAACAGAGAGAGAUAUAGUCUCAAAAAAAAAAAAAAAAAAAGGAAAAGAAAAAAAGAAAAGAAAAUACAUAGGGGUGGGCAGAUUUCCCCUAAGAUGCUCUAAGGAUGCCCUCUCUAGGUGCAGGAGUCAGUCUAAAGUUACCUCCUGGGGGAAGUCUUCUGUCCAGUUUUUAAAUGGAAGUUCUAGCUGCAGGCAGCAAGUCUCAUCACUGAAUAGAACCGGUUUUCAUUUGGUGCAAACACUAUCUCCUCCAGGAAGCCCUCCCAGGACCCUUCCCAGCCCCUAGUGAAAGUGCCUCCCUCCUGCUAGCCUGCCACUUUCUCCCUUGUGGUCCAUUCUGGAUGUCAGUGCCGGGCCAGUGAGCAUCCUAGCGGGCGCCUGAGUCAUACCCGGAGUGCACCUGGAGAGCCCCUUUCUGCUCACACUUUACAGGGCCCCAUGCUGGCCUCAGACACGCCCAUCUUCUCAUUUAAGCCUUACAACAACCUUCCGAGGUAGUCAUCACCAUCCCCAUCUUACAGAUAAGGAAACUGCGGUCAGAGGCCACAGAGGUGACUUACCCGAGCCCCACACCUGGUGUCACAGUGGAGUGGAGCCUGGCUCCUUGGCCCUGAGUUCAGCCCCCAUCACAGCUGCCGAAUUCACAGUCAGUGCUCAACACGUGUUCACGUGUUUGGAGGACGAACCAAACCCGAGUUCUCGGGGCUCCCCAGCCAGCAUGAAGACCGUGUAACCACAGCACGCAUGGGCGGGCCGCUUGGCAAUGGCCAGGCUCAUGCUCUACUGAGCCCCUGGGGGUCACGACUCCCCUGCUGCUCUGUGCAGAGAAAGAAAAGGCAGUCACCUCUCUCUUCCCUCACUGGAAGGUGAGGCCCAGGGGGUCCGGCCUGUGGGAUGUGAAGAAGCCACACAUUGGUGCCCAUCACCUGGUCCUCAGCCUCUCCUUAGGGCAGAGUCGAGGCCCAGAAGGUUGAAAGAGCUGGAAGCUGGGGAAGAGCCUGCACCAGUGCCUUUGCCUCUUAUCACUCUCCUGACUUUUAAAAUGUAUACCAAAAAAAAGUCAUUUUGAAGCUGUCCAGUUAAGUGAGCUGUAAACUGGAUUUACAAUAUUGCCAAACCUGGUGAGCAGGAAGUACAGGAUCGUUUUGAAUUCAGCAGAUUUUGAAUAAUGCCAGAUCAGGAGUGGAUCUCUGGGGUAAGAUGCAAUGGUCCCACACACUUAUAUGUCACCAGAGUCCACUCUUUGGGGAACAGCAAUUUGACGGAACAUGUCAAGAGCUUGUGAAAAUAAGUAAUUCACAUUCGACCUGUUACCCAGAAAAAAACCGGGGUUCAUUCACCUGGUGAAUCUCAAACGGCUCUCCACGAGAACGCAGGUUUGGAUCAGUAGGAGUUUUAUGACUCGCCACAGAAAAGAAGCCGGAAGAAAAGAAGUCAGAAGUCCAACCACAGCUGGAUGGACUUUUCCACAACAUAAUGUCUGCCUCUCAGACUCAUUCCAUUCACAAGUUGAUUUCUGUCUCCCUGAUCCAUUCAUUCUCCUUAAUAAUCAUUUACUGCUCCUCAAAACAAUGCUCUAUGUUUCCCAUCUCCUCGCUCCCCUGGGAAAAAGAGUACAUAAGCUUCUGUACCCCAUUGGGGGAUUGGGGUAAUCACACUGUAAUUCUCUCCCAUGAAUGUUAAUAAAUGUGUAUCCUUUUUCUCCUACUAAUCUGCCUUUUGUCAGGUGAUUUUCAGUGAACCUUCAGAAGGAAAAGGGGAAGUUUUCCCUUCACCCAUAUGCAGGCAUGUAAAGAUGUUCAUUGCAGUGCUGUUUAUAGCAGAGAAAAUGGCAAACACAAUCAAACAAUAGGGGGAUAGUUAAGAAAAAAAUGCACAGUUGCAGUUAGACUGGUCUCUACCGGCAGGGAGGUUUUUUUUCACCCUUUUUGAUUCUCACAGCAGCCCUAUGAUGUAGACAAAACCGGGUUCACAUUUAUUCUCCCCAUUAUUCAUGGGGGUGGGGGCCAGGAUGCAGACUGAGUUUUGAGAAAUUCUGGGCAGAGCUUCCAACAGGGAAUCAGAUUCUGAACUGGGACAGCUCCCAGGUGUCCUAAAGCGGAAUCCAGAGCUGACUCACAGCAGCGUGUGUCUGACAGGGGGAUCCAGCGGCAAGUCCCUACUCUUGGAUAAAGAUGAAACCACCUUUGCGAAAAUUAUGACAGAGGCCGGGCACGGUGGCUCACACCUGUUAUCCCAGCACUUUGGGAGGCCAAGGCAG
rnacentral:lncRNA from 10 species